UCGAAGGUAGCAUAAUCAGUAGUCUUUUAAUUGAAGGCUGGUAUGAAUGGUUGGACGAAAUAUUAACUGUUUCAUAAAAAUUUAUAAUAAAAUUUUAUUUUUUAGUUAAAAAGCUAAAAUUUAUUUAAAAGACGAGAAGACCCUAUAAAUCUUUAUAUAAUUAUUUAUUAUAAUUUUUUAGAUUUAUUUUGUUAUAAUUAAUAAUUAUAUUUUAUUGGGGUGAUGUUAAAAUUUAAUAAACUUUUAAUUAAAAAAAUCAUUAAUUUAUGAAUAGUUGAUCCGUUAUUAACGAUUAAAAAAUUAAGUUACUUUAGGGAUAACAGCGUAAUUUUUUUGGAGAGUUCUUAUCGAUAAAAAAGAUUGCGACCUCGAUGUUGGAUUAA
rnacentral:rRNA from 1 species